rnacentral:rRNA from 1 species
CCUACGGGCGGCUGCAGUCGGGAAUAUUGCGCAAUGGAGGAAACUCUGACGCAGUGACGCCGCGUGCAGGAAGAAGGUUUUCGGAUUGGUAACUGCUUUAGACAGGGAAGAAAAAAGACAGUACCUGUCGAAUAAGCGCCGGCUAACUACGUGCCAGCAGCCGCGGUAAUACGUAGGGAGCAAGCGUUAUCCGGAUUUAUUGGGUGUAAAGGGUGCUUAGAGGGGUAAGUAAGUUAGUUGUGAAAUCGCUCGGCUUAACUGAGGAACUGCAACUAAAACUACUUGCCUUGAGUGCGGGAGAGGAAAGUGGAAUUCGUGGUGUAGCGGUGAAAUGCAUAGAUAUUAGGAAGAACCCCAGUUGCGAAGGCGGCUUUCUGGCCAGUAACUGACGUUGAGGCACGAAAGUGUGGGGAGCAAACAGGAUUAGAUACCCCUGUAGUC